GGGGAUGAUCGGUUUCGACGAUGUGAGUUGAGACAGGGGAAGCGGGUCGAGGACGCAGAGUUAUCUCGUAAACGCUCUCUGUAAAACAAUAGUUGCCAAUUCCAACAGCAACGCCACCGCAAAGUCUGACCUCGCGCUCGCCGCGUAACCAGACUUAGGUGACUGUCAGCCCGGGUUCGCCUUCGACCCGGGGUCUGGCAUCAGCUAGAAGGCCACUGCUCCAGCCGUUCGUCGCGGGCGUCUGGAGAACACUUGCGCGACUGAGUCCGUCGGCCACGGGUCUGCACGAGGGCCGGGACUGAUAAAACGCCACGCAGACUGCACCCGGAGAAGCCCUGACAAAGCUGCAUCGGACGGGGGUUCAAUUCCCCCCAUCUCCACGA
rfam:Kocuria sp. SM24M-10 KSP0048, whole genome shotgun sequence.